rnacentral:rRNA from 1 species
CGUAGGCGGUCUGCUAAGUUGGAUGUGAAAACUCUGGGCUUAACCCAGAGCCUGCAUUCAAUACUGACAGGCUAGAGUUCUGGAGGGGAUAGCGGAAUUCCUGGUGUAGCGGUGAAAUGCGUAGAUAUCAGGAGGAACACCGGUGGCGAAGGCGGCUAUCUGGACAGAGUCUGACGCUGAGGCGCGAAAGCUAGGGGAGCAAACA